AUGAUGCCUGGAGAGCUGUGGAGGGAAAAAAAGAAUGCUAAUUGGAAAAUAGAGAAGAAGAGUUUGCUAGAAAUGAUUCAAGGUCAACAAGAUAUGAUUAACAAGUGCAUGGAAAAAAUUAAUGCUUGGGAAGAAAAAGAGAUCUAUGGAGAAGACUUAGGUGAGAAAAAUGAGCUUGAGACUGAAAUUCCCCGUGACCACACACCUGAAGAUGCAUAUGCAGAACCAGUGGAUUAUUCAGCCAGUCAAGAUUCGGUGGAAUCCCUAGGCUCAAAGUUAGGAAUUCACAAAAAGGAAGGAGGAGACAAGGACGAAGAUAAAGAUGGACCUACUAGAAGAAGUGAUAGAAACCUGGAUAAGAAGGAUGCUAAAAUAGAAGACCUGGCCAAGGAAAGGGCAGCUGAAAAAGACAAUUAUGAAAAGGGACCCAGAGGAAAAACAUGUUGA
rnacentral:rRNA from 1 species